rnacentral:rRNA from 1 species
UUCGCGGCCUACUAGCUUGUUGGUGGGGUAACGGCCUACCAAGGCGAUUACGGGUAGCCGGCCUGAGAGGGCGACCGGCCACACUGGGACUGAGACACGGCCCAGACUCCUGCGGGAGGCAGCAGUGGGGAAUAUUGCGCAAUGGGCGAAAGCCUGAGGCAGCGACGCCGCGUGGGGGAUGACGGCCUUCGGGUUGUAAACCUCUUUUACCACCAACGCAGGCUCCGGGUUCUCUCGGGGUUGACGGUAGGUGGGGAAUAAGGACCGGCUAACUACGUGCCAGCAGCCGCGGUAAUACGUAGGGUCCGAGCGUUGUCCGGAAUUAUUGGGCGUAAAGAGCUCGUAGGCGGCGUGUCGCGUCUGCUGUGAAAGACCGGGGCUUAACUCCGGUUCUGCAGUGGAUACGGGCAUGCUAGAGGUAGGUAGGGGAGACUGGAAUUCCUGGUGUAGCGGUGAAAUGCGCAGAUAUCAGGAGGAACACCGGUGGCGAAGGCGGGUCUCUGGGCCUUACCUGACGCUGAGGAGCGAAAGCAUGGGGAGCGAACAGGAUUAGAUACCCUGGUAGUCCAUGCCGUAAACGUUGGGCGCUAGGUGUGGGGACUUUCCACGGUUUCGCGCUGCGGUAUGCUAGAACGCAAUAUCAAGCGUGC